UACGGGGGGAGCAAGCGUUGUUCGGAUUUACUGGGCGUAAAGGGCGCGUAGGCGGUCGUGACAAGUCACUUGUGAAAUCUCCGGGCUUAACUCGGAACGGUCAAGUGAUACUGUCGGACUAGAGUACAGAAGGGGCAACUGGAAUUCUCGGUGUAGCGGUGAAAUGCGUAGAUAUCGAGAGGAACACCUGCGGCGAAGGCGGCCCCCUGGUUGGAUACUGACGCUGAUACGCGAAAGCGUGGGGAGCAAGCAGG
rnacentral:rRNA from 1 species